GCGGGGAUAGUUCAGUUGGGAGAACGUCAGACUGAAGUGAUACUUCAAUCGUUAUCUGAAGGUCGUGUGUUCGAUCCACACUCACCGCA
rnacentral:tRNA from 1 species